rnacentral:rRNA from 1 species
AUGGGUAAUUCAAGAAGCAAGGUGGUUGAUCAGCAAACAGAAGAGGAUGUUACUACGGGCCUUACCAGCUCUACAAUAGUUGAAGAUAACAAUGCAAGCGUCUUACCCAUGUCUCAAAAUGUUGGGGAAAACUCAGCGGUGGUUCCAGAUGAGACGUUGUCGCUUUCGGACGGAUAUCAAACUGUGGAAAUUAACAAAUAUGUUAACGAUGGAUCAAGUUCGGUGCAUACUAAAAACGAUCAUGAUGCUUCGUUGUUGGGUUCGAACGAGAUGACUCUAGAUGGUUUCACAAUUGUAGCUGGCAAAAAUGCCAUUGGCGGUACACCUCAAAACGAAGAUAUCAAUGUUGCGACACAGCUAACAGACGACAUCAGGUCCCUCGAUCAAGUCCAUAUAUCAAAUGGACGAUUGAACACAGAAAGGCCUGCAGCUUAUCAUGAGAAACCAGUCCAAUAUGAUGUUCAACAGACAUCAUUUCCGAAAUCUGAUCAUCUGGAACUUAACAACACAUGGAGGCGGGAAUCUUAUCGCAUUAGGUCAACACAGGGUUUCAUACAAAAACAAGUCAAUAGCCAUAUGCUUCAACGUCGUACGCUAGGUGAUAUCACGAAUGUUCGUCAACCUAAUCGUGUGAUCUCGGCCGAUAACUUGAAUGUCACUAAAGAGAAUGCGGCAAUAACGGAAGAAGCACGCAAAAGAGAACAUAGAAACGCACUGAGGAGAGCUUCUUAUCGGAGGAAAAAGGAACGGGGUCUCCAAGAAGAUAAACUCCGGACCCAUGCGCAGCCUGUAACAGAGAACCUUCCUAGCUCCGCCCAUACAACGUUAUCGAUGUCUGACACAGCAUUUACUGUUACAACUACGGAGACAUCCGGUCUGGUUAACGACAAUGAUCUACAUGACGUUGAGGAGACUAUACUUGAAGAAACUUGUCAUAUAAACGAGGAAGAUCGCAAGAGAGAUCAUAGAAAUGCACUAAGGAGAGCAGCUUAUUGGAGGAAAAAGGAAAAGAUGAUAGCAGACGAAAAUAUAAGUGCAAUAUAUAAUUCAGACUUAUUGCAAGAUGAUGCAACAAUACCCCCUGAGUCAUUAGACGCCUCCAUUCUUACCCAUGACAAUGACCUAGCUAAGAGUUUACAGAGAAACUCUCGUAGCCUGGGAUGUUAUCAGAAGCAAACUAUAGAACGGACUGAUGAGGAUAGAGAGGAUUUGAAUGGAAAUCGACGAGGGAAGCGCGUGCAGCGCCGCAAAAGCAUGUCCGAGAUUGACAAGGGGCAGUCAAGUGCUCAAAGGAAGGCCAGUUAUUCUAAAAGGAAAAACACCCCAUGCAAAGAAUCCCUCGCACUCCCACGCCCAGACAUUACUAACCUAAUAUCUGAUAGUUUCGCAAUUCCCCUAUCUCGUACUGCCGAAGUUGAUUCAUCAGAUGACGACCCUCCUCCUAUCAUGCUGAAUUACGGUGUUUGCACCAAUGACAACAUUGAUGUGCUUGCUGCGCCUAUCACGGGCGAUGAGCCGACACCAGCCGAAUUGAUGGAUGAGGAGUACUACAUGUAUCGCGGCCUAGGAUCGGAUAAUGACACGUUCGAGGGUGACGAGGAAACGAGCAUGUCAUCUGUUAUACCUAACGAGUUUGAUCCAUUAGACUGUGUGUACACAAACAUACCAGACAAGACCCACAUCCUGAAGCUCGAUGGAAACUGCACACACUGCAAUGCCAGAAAGUUUGUGUCUGAGACUGACGGAUUCUGCUGUCGCAAUGGACAGAUCGAGCUUAAACAGCCGGAACCAAUCCCAGAGCUUAUGAGGCUAUGGUCCAGCAUGGAUGCCGAUUCUAGACAUUUUCGUGAAAACAUACGGUUCUUCAAUGGGCAUUUCACCUUCACAACCCUUGGUGUCAGCCUUGAUGAUAACUACACAAACAUGAAGUCUGGUGUGUACACAUUUCGGGCACACGGAUCCAUCUAUCACAAUGUGCAUUCUUUCGGGCCUAGCUCACGUCCAGAACAUUUGCAGUUGUACUUCUAUGAUGAUGACCCAACCUUAACUCAUCGUAAGGCGGCCACAAAGUAA